rnacentral:rRNA from 1 species
GCGAACAGGAUUAGAUACCCUGGUAGUCCACGCCGUAAACGAUGUCGACUUGGAGGUUGUUCCCUUGAGGAGUGGCUUCCGGAGCUAACGCGUUAAGUCGACCGCCUGGGGAGUACGGCCGCAAGGUUAAAACUCAAAUGAAUUGACGGGGGCCCGCACAAGCGGUGGAGCAUGUGGUUUAAUUCGAUGCAACGCGAAGAACCUUACCUACUCUUGACAUCCAGAGAACUUAGCAGAGAUGCUUUGGUGCCUUCGGGAACUCUGAGACAGGUGCUGCAUGGCUGUCGUCAGCUCGUGUUGUGAAAUGUUGGGUUAAGUCCCGCAACGAGCGCAACCCUUAUCCUUUGUUGCCAGCGGUUAGGCCGGGAACUCAAAGGAGACUGCCAGUGAUAAACUGGAGGAAGGUGGGGAUGACGUCAAGUCAUCAUGGCCCUUACGAGUAGGGCUACACACGUGCUACAAUGGCGCAUACAAAGAGAAGCGACCUCGCGAGAGCAAGCGGACCUCAUAAAGUGCGUCGUAGUCCGGAUUGGAGUCUGCAACUCGACUCCAUGAAGUCGGAAUCGCUAGUAAUCGUAGAUCAGAAUGCUACGGUGAAUACGUUCCCGGGCCUUGUACACACCGCCCGUCACACCAUGGGAGUGGGUUGCAAAAGAAGUAGGUAGCUUAACCUUCGGGAGGGCGCUUACCACUUUGUGAUUCAUGACUGG